rnacentral:ncRNA from 2 species
GGAAACCGGUGCGAUGCCGGUGCGGCCCCGCCACUGUAACGGGCAGGAACGGUUCACCCAGCAUGCCACUGACUCUGUCGGGAAGGCGGGUGGACGGCCCGGAGCCAGGAGAC